rnacentral:rRNA from 1 species
AUGGGUACAACUGCCUCCAAGCAAGACUGCAACACCGCAUUGCAGCUCUGCAAGGGUCGUCUGAAACACAUUGAACAAGCAAUCGAUGCAAGGUAUGCCCUUUCGGCUGCUCAUCUGUCGUACGAGCAGUCUCUGCGCAAUGUCGGCGUUGCUUUGAGGCAGUUUGUGGAGUCACACCAUGAGGGUGAUCCGGACAAGUCCCCUCGCUCUUCGUCUGCUUUACCAUCCCCAUUGCCACCUGCAGACAAUUCUAAAAUUUCACCACUGAAAGUGCCCCGCCAUUCUGAUAUUAGUCGCUUGAGGUCAGAAGUAAGCCCAUCCUUGACAGUGACAGUCGACCCAAGUGAUGGUGAUGCUAGUUUUAUUAGAAAAGGGCAGCCCAUCCUGACUUCGGUUUCACCACCGUUGUCUCCGGAAUUUUGCCCCCCAUGGGAUUUCUUUGAACCAAAUGAUGUGAGUGAAAAUGUUGCCACCCAUGUCUCAGAGAACUGUGAGGCAACUUUGGAUGACUUUGGCCAUGUCGAUGGAAGGGGUCAAGCUUCCUCUAGUCAAAUAGCUGAGGUGCAAGAACAGUUGGGAACACAUGGAUGUAAAGACCUUGAUGACAAUUUUGACCAUCUUAAGUUGAAUCGCAAUGACUGUAGUGAAAUUGAGAUUGUUGAUACAGACUUACCAAAUGACUCAAACUUACACAAACGACCUGAUCAAGUGCAGACACAGAAUGUGGAGGGGCAGAAUCCUACAUGUAUUACUGACAAUAGAAAAAACGAAGCCCACUCUGUAGACAAGGUUAAUGUACCAAAAAUAUCUACUGAAAGGGAAGAAGAAAAGAGCAGUUCCAUCACCAGCGUAUCAAAAGAUUUUCUGUCUGAUGUGAAAGAACUCGAGCGCCAAUUUGCUCGGGCAGCUGAGUCUUGCCAUGGGGUCUCAAGGAUGCUUGAGACAAGGAAGAUUCGACUAAGCUUUUCAACCAAGAUAACAGGGAAACCGUCGUGUGCACUUUCUCUGUCAUCAUCCUUGCUCUGCUGCAAUGCUGGAAAUGUAGCUUCCCAUGAAUCAGAGCAGCAUGUCACGAAAGUGAUCGCUUGGAAUCGCUCACUUUCAUCACGAUCUUCAUCAUCUAAGAAUCCACCAUUUUCAGUUCAGAAGGAUGAUGACCCUCCAGAAAGCAUUAGCGAUUUUAUUGAAGAGUUUUGUAUGAUUUCAGGAAGUCAUGCAUCCUCUUUAGAUAGACUCUAUGCUUGGGAAAUAAAGAUUUAUGAUGAGUUAAAGAAUAUUGAAUCAAUCGAGCAGAUAUAUGACAAAAAAUGUGCUCAGCUAAGCCAUCAGUGUGCAAGGGAUGCGGAUGCCAGGCAAGUUGACAAAACUCGGGUUACUACCAAAGGGUUGUAUUCACGACUCGUGGUAGGAACUGAAGCACUAUACACAAUUUCAAAAACAAUUGAGAAGUUAAGAGAUGAAGAGUUGCAGCCCCAACUUCUUGAAUUACUACAAGGGCAGACGCGCAUGUGGAGGGUGCUGCAGGAAGUUCACCAAAUGCAGCAGAAAAUUACCUCUCCAACAGAUGCAAAGCUCCCAGCAAUGUCUCCUCCAAGCGAGUCGCGCGGACAUGCCUUGAUGAACCUCAUCACUGAACUGGGAGUCUUCUACUCCAGUUUGGCAGGCUGGGUUGAUGGUUACAAAAACUAUGUGGGUGGUCUGCACUCCUGGCUGCAGAAAUGUGUGGUGCAACCACGAGACCGGUCAGGGGAAGGAAACCUGACCCUCUCGCCUCGCCAACACCUUGCUCCACCCCUAUUUGUUCUCUUGGGGGAUUUGUCCGCAGGAAUGUCAUCGCUCCCGUCUGAAGAAUCAUGCGACUCCAUCAAGAACCUUGCAGCAGAUCUCAAGAAAAUGUACAAGCACCAGGCAGCAGAACAGAAGAAGGCAGCGAAGAAGAGAUCUUCAGACACUGGGGCAGAGGGUGAAAAAUCGUCAGAGACUGAAUCAGAUAUGGCAACCCUGCAGGGCGGUCUUACCGCAAUGUUCGAUCGACUCUCAAAGCUCUCAGGUGCCAUGGCCAGCCUGGCUGAAAAUGUGAAACGGGAGGCGGAGAUCGCCCGGGAGGCGUACGCCAUCGGUCGCUGCAUAGAGUAA